rnacentral:rRNA from 1 species
UACGGAGGAUGCAAGCGUUAUCCGGAUUUAUUGGGUUUAAAGGGUGCGUAGGCGGCUUUUUAAGUCAGCGGUGAAAUUUUGCAGCUUAACUGUAACAGUGCCGUUGAUACUGCAUGGCUAGGAUUUGGUUGCUGUGGGUGGAAUGUGUGGUGUAGCGGUGAAAUGCUUAGAGAUCACACAGAAUAUCGAUUGCGAAGGCAGCUCACAAAGCCAAGAUUGACGCUGAGGCACGAAAGUGUGGGGAGUCAAACA